rnacentral:rRNA from 1 species
GAGUUUGAUCGUGGCUCAGAUUGAACGCUGGCGGCAUGCCUUACACAUGCAAGUCGAACGGCAGCGCGGGAGCAAUCCUGGCGGCGAGUGGCGAACGGGUGAGUAAUACAUCGGAACGUGCCCAAUCGUGGGGGAUAACGCAGCGAAAGCUGUGCUAAUACCGCAUAAGAUCUACGGAUGAAAGCAGGGGAUCGCAAGACCUUGCGCGAAUGGAGCGGCCGAUGGCAGAUUAGGUAGUUGGUGAGGUAAAGGCUCACCAAGCCUUCGAUCUGUAGCUGGUCUGAGAGGACGACCAGCCACACUGGGACUGUGACACGGCCCAGACUCCUACGGGAGGCAGCAGUGGGGAAUUUUGGACAAUGGGCGAAAGCCUGAUCCAGCCAUGCCGCGUGCAGGAUGAAGGCCU